CCUAAUUUUUAGUUGGCGGGCCUUUAUUUCCCCUUUCCCUCUCAUUUCUUUUUCCCAACCCCCUUUCCCUCUCAUUCUACUAAACUCUACAUAUCUAACCAAACCCUAACUCCCUCUCUUUUUCGAUCAAAGUUUCGGGGUUCUCAGAAUUCCCCCCAUCGUGACAUUCGUCACCACACAAAAGCUAGAUGAAGAAAGGUUUGCGAAACUUUGGAGCGAGAAACUGAAGAUUCUCUCUUCUUUCACAGAUCAAAAUUUCUCUUUUGUUUUGUUUUUGAUUCCUACUCAUCUCAAGUCAGCCAAUGGUUGGUUCUGAUUCAGAUAAGGAGUAUGGAUUCGUGUGCUUAGACGAGGUGCCCGAUGAACAUGACUUUGAUGCUGAGAACCGAUACUACAACUCCAGAGAUCCUUAGGACACGUGCUCGUAAGAAUGUUGUUGGGAGUGAAAUCAAGGUCAACGUUUGCAUAUAUGGUUUUCAUAUCUUGUAUCUUAAUGGACAACCACUUCUUUAAGAGCAACUUAACGUUUGCAGAAGGUAUUUUCAUUUUUGCAGUUGAAUAUUUGCUUUUAAUUCUCAUGAUUAUAUUGUUUUUCUUUUGCUUCAGUAAAUUCUUGUGUUAUUUAUACCAUUUUGUGCUUCUGCGGAAAACUAAGUAGCAUUUGGUACCGAGUGCAUUGUCUAUAAGUGAAAUGUCUUAUUUUUAAAUAGCAUAUUUUAAGUGUUUUACCGACGUCUUAUGCUGCUAUGAGAUAGGAGAAAACAUCAUUGUGAAACACAACUCUGCUUGUGUAGCUUCGCCGGAUGUAAUUUCUUCUGAAACAUGGAUUUUGGCAGUAAUAUUUUUUCAAAGCUAGAAAGGUAGUGGUGUUUAUGCAACUGAGUUUUGUGAUGAUAUAUAUGAAAAUAAAUAUGUAAUUAAGCUCUUGCCGUGUGAAUUUCUAACAACUUCUGCAUAAUGCCCUUUUUUAAAUCAAGUGGCAAAUUUAACUGCUAGAAGAUUUUUAUUUGGUAAAAAUUUUGCUGAGAAUUGAUUGCCUUUAAAUCUUCUUUUUUAUUGCCCCUUUUUUUCUUUAUGGUUUCCCUUUUCUUCUGUGUGAUUCUUUGUUCAUCUUGUGCAUCUCGUUUUUUCAAUUGGCUCCUAUUCACAAACUUACCUGGUUUUUAUUAACCAUCAGUAAGUAAGUAAUUUUAUGAUAACCAUCUUGCUUUUGGAGAAAACGAGGAAUAGGGUAAACAUGACUCGAGCGUUGAUGCUAAUUUUAAGAAUUUCUCUGUUAUGCUCUUAUGUGAAUAGGACAAGUGCUUUGCUUUACUAGGUACUAGUCAGCCAUAUUAGAAAAGUUAGAACUAUAAUAGUUAUAUCUUCGGUAACUUAUCUAGUAAACGUGGAAUCAGGUAUCCUAAAAGCCAGAGUUGAAUUGCCAUUGGCCUUCCUUUGAUAGCUUUCUCUAUAAGCUUAGUAGUCUAGCUAUAGAUUACAAUUGAAAGUUAACACCAAUCACCAAUUCAUAUCAGGAAUAUUUUUAGAAGGAAAAGAUAAUAUUUUGAGAAAAUCUCAUCUUUGAGAUCCUUCGGCACUACUGGGAGGAGGUUUAGCAGCAGUUAUUAUCACACUUUUUCUCUACAAGCUCACCACCACCAUUGGAUUAUCUCUUAAUCAUCAAGUGCUUUCAGAUGAAUCUUUUCGGAUUGUAUCUCUGUUUUCUUGAAAAAUGCUAUUUUUA